CCCUUAGAUGUUCUGGGCCGCACACGCGCUACACUGAAGGAGGCAGCGUGUACUCCUGGAUCGAAAGAUUUGGGUAACCCGCGAAUCUCCUUCGUGCUAGGGAUUGAGGUUUGCAAUUAUCCUUCAUGAACGAGGAAUUCCCAGUAAGAGCAAGUCAUAAGCUUGCGCUGACUACGUCCCUGCCCUUUGUACACACCGCCCGUCGCUACUACCGAUUGAGUGAUCCGGUGAAUAAUUCGGACUGCAGCACUGCUUGGUCUCCAGGCUUUGCAGCGGAAAGUUUAGUGAACCUUAUCACUUAGAGGAAGGAGAANUCGUANCA
rnacentral:rRNA from 1 species